GAUAGUCCCCUGGGAGCUUCUGAAAGAGAGUGUCCGUAGGGACUAGCUUGAGUGUCCAGAGGAACUAAAAGGUGGAUGACAAAAUCCUACCUGUUCCCCCUUGGAUGGGUCUGGGACCCACAGGCUGGCACCUCAAGGAGCAGGGACAAAAUCAACGUGAUUCAUUCUUUGCAGAAGAAAACCUGCUAAAUCUUCCAGUAACAUCGCUUUCCUCCACCUCCCCUCAGCCUUCUGCCCAGGAGAAAGACUUGGGGUGUUUGGAUGCUGUAGCAAGAAAGUUCCUGAAAUCAGUCCAAGUUCCAAGAACAAGCAGGCAGGGGGCAAGGUGCCAGGCGCAGUGGCUUGUACCUGUAAUCCCAGCUACUCGGGAGGCUGAGGCAGGAGGAUUGCUUGAGCCCAGGAGUUUAGGGAGAACUCAUCUCUGAAAAAAGAAAAAAAAAAAAAAAGGUGGCAGGAUGAGAUUGAAAAAUGAGAGUUGUCAAAUGAGUCUACUAUUUUUGACCAGAGCCCCACCCUCUCCUAUCCAGACUAGUGACCAGGGGGCUGAAGUUUAGUGUCUCUGAGCAGCAAAGAACCAUGCAACUUGGCAGGCAGAUCCACCCCCAGAAGGCGAAACUCCACUUGCAGAGGGAUCAGGGAAAUGGACAACCAAGGGUUGGAUGAACCACCGGCUGUAACACCCAAGAGCAGCCUAGGAAUGUGCUGCCUGUACCACUGGAACGGCCCCUCGUUGCCCCAGCGAGACAACGCCAAGGUGGGAAACUUUUGACUGGGAAAGGCAUAAAUGAGAUCAUCCGUGAUGAGAGCUGCUGGGAGGCAGACAGAUGACUCAGCUUUCAAACCCCGAGGACCAAACUUAUGAGAACUCUCUGGAAAGUGAGACUACACAAGCACUGGAUGAGAAGUGCCUGUUCCUUCGUGGACUUUGUGACAUGUUACGAGGCUCAGCAGACCCGGUUCCAGCUGAGUUCUGAGAAGCGAGAACGCCAGCCGUGCAUGUUCACCGGCUAGAAGACGUCUGCGGAAAUCGAGUUGUUUUUCAGUUCAGUAACCUUGGAGCAUCUCUUUCCUUUCAACAUGUAUUUCUGGCCGUUCCAACAUCAAAUAACAACAAAAUUGUAUUUGUAUAAAUGUGACCUCCAAAACGCAAAGUUCCAAGAAAUGUGAAAUUUCA